GCCUGGUGGCUCAGUCGGUUGAGCAUCCGACUUCGGCUCAGGUCAUGAUCUCACAGUUUGUGGGUUCAAGCCCCGCAUCAGGCU
rnacentral:tRNA from 1 species